CCUUGACCUCUGGGCUCCUUGGUGAUUCAUGAUAACUUCUCGAAUCGCAUGGCCUUGUGCCGGCGAUGGUUCAUUCAAAUUUCUUCCCUAUCAACUUUCGAUGUUUGGGUAGUGGCCAAACAUGGUUGCAACGGGUAACGGAGGGUUAGGGCUCGACCCCGGAGAAGGAGCCUGAGAAACGGCUACUACAUCCAAGGAAGGCAGCAGGCGCGCAAAUUACCCAAUCCCGACACGGGGAGGUAGUGACAAUAAAUACUGAUACAGGGCUCUUUUGGGUCUUGUAAUUGGAAUGAGUACAAUUUAAAUCCCUUAACGAGGAACAAUUGGAGGGCAAGUCUGGUGCCAGCAGCCGCGGUAAUUCCAGCUCCAAUAGCGUAUAUUAAAGUUGUUGUGGUUAAAAAGCUCGUAGUUGAACCUUGGGCCUGGCUGGCCGGUCCGCCUCACCGCGUGUACUGGUCCGGCCGGGCCUUUCCCUCUGUGGAACCCCAUGCCCUUCACUGGGUGUGGCAGGGAACCAGGGACUUUUACAA
rnacentral:rRNA from 1 species